GCCGCUCUAACGGGGUGCCGGGUCGCGGUUUUCGCGGAACGGCUGAGAGGCGCUAAGCCAACCCGCUGAACCUGAUCCGGCUUGUACCGGCGGAGGGAUUAGACGCUUAGCCAAA
rnacentral:ncRNA from 2 species